AGACUCUUUACAAUCUUUUAAAAUUGCAUCUGCAAGAGAAGGCAGUGGUGACAAGGUUAAAAAUAUGUCCCUGACUCUGAUUAUAUUUAGGUGUCUGAAUACUGUAUAAAGCAUCUAUUUAAUCUAUAGAUCAGUGAGAUUGUAUGAACAAACUGGGGAGUAGGCAUUCUAGAGAUUUAAAAAAUGAGAUGAUUUUGCAUACUUAUUUUCAACUCAUUCUUAAUUGGACUUGCUGUCAUUACAUAGUGAUCAUAAGCUUAUGUAGAAGUAAAUCCCAAGUAAUUACAGGUUAUCCAGGUCUUGCAUUUACCAUACAGGUGGGCCCCACUUAUACGGCAGGCUCCAUUCUGGACUGCUGCCGUAAAGCGGAAAUUGCUGUAAAGCGGAACCCAUUGAGUAUAAUGGGGUGCGUUGCGUGAAAAUGCUGCAAAAUGCCACAAAAACAGCUUUAAAAUGGGGAAUUUCUCCUAAUUGAAAGCUGCCACAUUAGCGGAACGCUGGAAUGCAAAGGGCUAGUAAGUAGGCCCUACAGUAUAAAUAUGCCACCUGCUUUGGCCAGAUCUCGUAAACAAUCUUGACAGAUGGGAAUUGCUUUUCUAAAUCUGCAUUUCUUGUUGUACAGUAUUAUGCCUUGGAACCAAAAAUGUGCUGAAUCUAAUUUCCAGAUGACUUUUCUCCAGUCUCCUUCAGUUUCCAGAACAGUGUUUUUGCUUAGCUUUAUCCAUGCCACUGGUGUUGCUUCUGUAGAUUUGAGUAAUUCAUUGCUGCUGACUUGCCCACUUAACUUACAAGUGUACAUCAACAAUGCUGGAGAGCGUAUGGUUUCAUUGGAUCCAUUAUACACAGCAGGAGUGGGGAAGCUUCAUCCCUCCAUACAUUACUGGGCUAUGCUUCCUUUCCAUCAUCCUUGGUCAAUGGCCGUAUUGGCUUGGCCUGAUGAGAGCUCGAUUCCCACUAAGAUGGUGAAGACUACCAGUUCCUUAUUCCUGAGACAGAGGGUGGAUUUUAGCCAGCCUAAAAGCCCACCACGCCAGUGCUUUGGAGGCCCAGGAACCGCUUCCUGUAAUGCAAAUAGGGCAACAGGACUGGGAAAUCAAGAUAAAGCCUAAAUAAGCUGACUUGCUUUUCAAAGCUGCCACUGGUGCAGACCGACCUAAGGUUGUCACUCUGGAAAGUUCAUUAGUAGUUUGGUGGCUCAUAAGCUUUUUAGCUGAAGUCUGGAUCCAUGCAGCACAUUCUCCAUCCAGCAGGGGGAGAGAGUGAGGCACUCCGUUAGAGAAAACAGCAAGGAAUUGAAUGUGACCAAGUAGCGGGAAGAUUGCGCACAGGCCUUCUGCGUGGAUGAUGGGAAAGCGGGUGCACCCCCACACAAUUGUUUUCAGAGCAAAGGAGCAGACUGGCGUAGACAAAUGUUGGAAUGGCCCCGGCUUUCCACAAAACCUUCACAUGCAACAUCCCAGCAGCCCCAUAAAGUAGGACAGAGUUACCAGGUGCAUGAAGCCAGCACCCUGCUGAAGCUAAGCAAGGUCAGAUCUGGUCAGUGCCUGGAUGGGAGACUGCCUGGGAAGCAUAUGUGAGCCGCCUUGGGUUUCAAUCAUGAAAAGAAAAGGCGGGGUAUAAAUGUAAUAAAUAAAAUGUUGUAGAUGGAAGGUUGAAAGAUAGUGGCUCGCCAAAAGGGGUGCUUAGUGAAUUUAGAGCUAAAGUAGGAUUUUUGUUUGCCCAGUUUAUGCUGGGUUAGCCUCUGGCACCUCAGCUAAAUGGUACACUCACAUUUUUCAUAAGUACUAUAUAUGUGAAUGCGUAUGUUCCCUAUAGAUUUGGAGGUUCCAGUGAAGAAAAAAGUGUACUUUCUGCCCAUUUGCUACGUUGGGUUCUGCAUGGCCACAGCUACUGUGGCUCAUUGGUUCCGUCAGCCAGUACCCAUGGAUAAUGCUAUCCACCUUGCUGUUUGUUUGGUGACAUCAAAUUAUCCCAUUCCUUCCUGGGCCAAUCAAGACACAUCUGGGAGAGGUCAGGAAGGACUUUGCAUCUCUACCACCCAGCAGCUGCCUUCGAUGACAUCUUAUGAAGAAUUAGCAUCUGCCAUAAUUCCCUGGCAGCUUGUGAUCUUGUGUUUUGUACACGCAACAUGUUAAGACACAGUUCCAUUGGGCUUGAUGCAUUUGUGCAAAUCCAAAGGCUCAGGCUGUUAAUAUAGCCAAUAACCUCGUUCCCUGCCAAAGCAUUUUCCCAGCAACUAAUGUUUGCUGAUUACACAAUCACAGAAAGAGGACUGUAGUUAUCUACUGUGUCCGCUGAGCAGAAACACAUUUAUGCAGAAGUCCUACUGGCCACAAUAGGAUUUACUUCCAUGUACAGUAUGCUUAUGGUGCUUGAGGACACACAGGUAUUGGGAGCUGUCUCGGGCAAUCUGUCCGUCUCACCCAGUAUGCUCACCUUGAAUGCAGGACCUCUCCAAAGGGCCAAAGAUCCUUUUGAGCAGGAGAUUCCAAGGACUGAAGCCAGCCCUUGGCAUCUGCCACUGGGCUGUAGACCCACACAAGCCUCAGAACAUAGUUGUGGCUGCUAACCAUUUAGCCACAGCAUCUGCGUGGAAAACCAAACUCCCCGUCAAGCAUUUUACUGCAGCGCAUACCCCAACCUGACCUUUAAAAGCGUACUUGCAUGCAGGCCAAUUUUGAUAUUACUUCAAUAUAGUACAAUGUGGAUGAUGCAAUUCCUUUUGGAAGUGUUCCUACAAAUUCAAAAGUUACACUCUGGCCUGUGUGUGUUGCAAGAGCACAGAAUGUGGAAUUUGGCUUCCUGAGAACCUCAGCUGUUUCUUUUUUUAUUUUUUUUAAAAAAGCAAGUUGCUAUUAUGAUCACAAGAAUAUGUCUGACAGUGAACAAUAGCUAGUGAAAUAACAAAGCCAGCAGUUGUGGCAGGGCUCCAGUGUGUUCCUGCUCCUGGAAGUUGCCUCCGCUUGGCUUUGGGGGACAGCCGCCACUCCGGGAAGGGCCAUCGCUCAGCGGCAAAGCAUCUGCUUUGCAUGUAGAAGGCACCCAAUUCAAUCCCAAGAAUCUCCAG